GGGGAAUCUUGCACAAUGGGGGAAACCCUGAUGCAGCGACGCCGCGUGAACGAUGAAGCCCUUCGGGGUGUAAAGUUCUUUCGACAGGAACGAUAAUGACGGUACCUGGAGAAGAAGCUGCGGCUAACUACGUGCCAGCAGCCGCGGUAAUACGUAGGCAGCGAGCGUUAUUCGGAGUUACUGGGCGUAAAGAGUGCGUAGGCGGCGAGCCAAGUUUGGUGUGAAAUCUCCCGGCUUAACCGGGAGGGUGCGCCGAAAACUGGUUGGCUGGAGUAUGGGAGAGGAAAGCGGAGUUCCUGGUGUAGCGGUGAAAUGCGUAGAUAUCAGGAGGAACACCUGCGGUGUAGACAGCUUUCUGGACCAAAACUGACGCUGAGGCACGAAAGCGUGGGUAGCAAACA
rnacentral:rRNA from 1 species